rnacentral:lncRNA from 1 species
AGGCGUUGGACCCCACAGGGAGCCAGCUACAGCAGGCCUAGGCUGUGGGGAUGGAGAGAGGACAAAGGAACGACAGAGGACCAGGCUUCCAACUUGUGAUUCCUUUACUGGGCAAGACACUCUUAGCCUAGAUAGAACCAGGUGAAGACACAGGUGCUCACACAGCCACUGACAGCUGCAAGAAAACACAGGCCACCUGAGGAUGAAGCUUGAAUUAGAGAUGACAGGCCACAGUUCCAGCCUCUGGGUCAAACUCCAUCUGAAACGAACCUCACUGCUUUUCUCCAGAGAAAGCCCCCAGCACCCCUGAGCAUCGCUGAUGACAAGCCUCAUCUUUCCUGAGAGAGCUGUGACAACACAUGGGAAGAAAACAACCGAGAGGAACAAGAAUUCAGUUUAGCUCACAGUUCCAGGGUCUCAGUGCUUGGACUCAGGCCCCAUAGUUUAACACCAGGCAUGGUGUUAAUUCUGAGAUUUGCAGGAGAAACACCAGUUGCACCAUCUGGGACCAAAUUAAAGCAAACUUUAUUAAAAUGUUAAAUACUGACCAAGAUGGAAUUUGAUCAGGACCACUUCCUGGAACUUUCCAGCUGAAUGGCUCUGAGACAGGAGUCAUCAGGGCUUUUAUGGACAAAACUCAUAGGCCACCAUACUUUCCCAUGAGGCUUUGUUGUUGUUUUUCAAGAACUACAACUCCCAGCAUCCCAGGAAGUUACCUGCUCCUUGGGCAGGUGGGUUUACAGGUAAAUUUAGGGUAUAACAAUCGUAGAACAAAGCUGCUCACCC